ACGACCAAACUUCUAACCCUAAAGCCAAAACAAAAUAUCCAAAUGACUCAUUUCUACAAACGCUUCUCUCUCUUCUCAUAAAAACACAGAGUUGCUCUACAACUCCCACAACCUUUCCCGAUCGCAACCUACCAGAGAAGAAGGUGGUUGCCAGCCAACGGCACACCCCGCUCAAACCCACCAGACCUAAACACUAACCCCCUCUAUUUCAGGCUCGUAAUUAUGAAUCCGACCUAACUUUGCUUUAAAAACUUCUCAAACAACCAGAUUGGAACCUUAAUCAUACAAAAACAACCUCAAAUAGAAAAAAUCCUCAAGCAAACGAAACGAAAUCAAGGCAGUUAGAGAGAAAAUUCAAAGAGCAAAUGAAACAUAAUCAAGGCUAUAAAGACGGUGUUUUCACGCGAUUAAGUUGGGGUUUACAAACAGUGCAUCAAGGCGAGUAAGAAGAGGUAAAGAUUUUAAGAAAAAAGAGAAAGAAAAAUGGUAUACUUGAUCGGAGACGAAUCUUCGGCGACGUCUUCUCCGCUACUUUCCGAGAUAAGCUUCUUUUAAAUUUUCGGUUCUCUCUCCUUCUUCUCCUUUUCUUUGGAUGUUAUGUUUUGAUUCUGAGCUCGUCUAGGUUAGAGUUUCAGUAUGAAACUCUAGAUUAAACCUUAGGGAUCUUGAGCUUUAAUGAAAUGGUUUUUGGGGGGAUUUUGGCAGAAUAAUGGUGAGCGAUCCUGAGAAAAGGUUGGAUCGCCCCCUUUUAUAGAGGACUGUGGAUUUCCAAAAUUCCAUCAAUCCCACUCCACUUGUGAAUCCGUUAUAGGUAUUCUUCGUUGGAUAAUGUGGUGACCAAAUCUUGCUUCCCUGAUCUUGUGGGAUUGAAUCGUGAGUGAGGGGAAGCGACCACUUGGUUAUGCUUGGUGUAUUCCUUCCGUUCUAAUUCCUGCUAUGGUCCCCUGUCCUUGAUUUUUAAUCUAUUAUUAAUCUCUUAAAUUUUAAGGUUGUGAUGCUAAUGAUUUGUUUUCUUGCAGGUUAUUUUGAUUCAAGAAGCGAUUUGCAUGCAACUGUGGGCUGUGGUCCCUUUUAGACGAAGACUUCAUCUCCACCGGCUGGACUUCCAGGGUAGCACUUUGGUCAAGACGUGAUGCUUAUAAAUUAGGACUUAAUACUGUAUUUUAUGAUAGUGAUAACGGAUAGUAUAUGUAAAACUUUUGGAUCAUCUAAGCCAUUCGUACACACGCUUCAAAAAAUGUAAUUUAAUUUUAGAACUCUCAAUCAACAGUAAUUAAUGCUUGGUAUAAUUAUUUGGGAGAGAAAAAUGGACUGUGAACUUGCAAACUUGGCUGAUAGGCAAUUAUCACAAGGCAAAACGUCACUUAGUACUUGCUAACAAAAAAAUGAAUUUACGUUAUUUAGGACUUGC
rnacentral:lncRNA from 1 species